rnacentral:lncRNA from 1 species
UUCCUGACCCUUCUACUUUACGUUUGUGCUCCUUCUGCCCCUUCCAGCUCAUUGCUGAUCCUUUCUGCUUGAUGUCCAUUCCUGCUCAUUUUUUGUUCCUUCACCUUCUUUACCUUUGUGCUCCUUCUGUCCCUUCCUGCUCCUUGCUGCCCUUUCCAGCUCCUUGCUGACCCUUUCUGCUCCUUACACUUUACCUUUGUGCUGCUUUAACCUCCAGCUCCUUGCUGCUUCUUGCUGACCCUUCCUGCUCCCUGCUGAUCCUUGCUUGUCCUUGCUGACCCUUCCUGCUCCUUGCAGCCCCUUCCUGCUCAUUUCUGUUCCUUUGUGAUCCUUCUGCUACUUUACCUUUUGUGCUCAUUGCUGUUCCUUCCAGCUCCUUGCUGCUCCUUUCUGCUCCUUGCUGACCCUUCCUGUAGGCUGUCUCCCUCAUCCCUCACUUACCUGAUCUAUAGGCAGUCUCCCCCCUCACUUCCCUGAUCUGCAGUCUCUCCAUCCCAUCCCCCUCCCUCACUUCCCUGGUCUAUAGGCUCUCUCUCCCCCUCCCUCACUUCCCUGAUCUAUAGGCUCUCUCUCCCCAUGCCUCACUUCCCUGAUCUAUAGGCUCUCUCUUCCCAUGCCUCACUUCCCUGAUCUAUAGGCUCUCUCUCCCCAUGCCUCACUUCCCUGAUCGAUAGGCUCUCUCUCCCCUUCCCUCACAUCCCUGAUCUAUAGGCUCUCUCUUCCCCUCCCUCACUUCCCUGAUCUUUAGGCUCUCUCUCCCCCUCCCUCACUUCCCUGAUCUUUAGGCUCCCUCACUUCCCUGAUCUAUAGGCUCUCUCUCCCACCUCCCUCAUUUCCCUGAUCUAUAGGCUCUCUCUCCCCCUCCCUCACUUACCUGAUCUGUAGGCUGCCCCCAUGCCUCACUUCCCUAAUCUAUAGGCUGCCCCCCCAUCCCUCACUUACCUGAUCUGUAGGCUGUCUCUCGCUGCAUGUUCUGCUCCUCUGCGGAUUCAGUCAGGAGAGAAGCAGGGAUAAGAUGUAGCUUCCUAUCCCUGUUUCUCUACAUACACAUACACCGGCGUUGGUAUUGCACUGUACUUUCAAUCUCACACGAAAAAUAGCAAAACAAGCUGAAAAAUCCAGGGGAGGGGGGCAAGUACCCCCCCUUUCACCCACCUGCGGAUGCCCAUGUGUGCAACUAUACCCCGAAGUCGUGUAUAAAUGUUUAGCAUUAUUGCAAAUUCAUUUUGUUUGCAAAUUAUGCCAUAACUACAGUCUGAGAGCUCACAACACAGUGCCAUAGGGAGCAGCAACAAUACAAGCCUUUGAACAAUGAAUACAGAGACUAGCUCUCUGUAUCCAGCACGGCAAAUCUGCCCUUCAAUAUAUCUACAGCUCCUUAUACACACACAACCACUAUUUAUUUUUAGUGGGGGCCUCAUGUUUGAGUUUUGCCUAAUAAUUUAAUAAAAUCUUAUAGCACAAAUUAUUUACUUUACAAACUCCUAUUUUAUGUUCUGAUAAUUUAAUUUUAAAGCAUUUAUAUGUGAUUCUAAUUUUAUGCCCACAUUACAGGCUUGGAGUAUGUUUACAGGCUAUUUUCACUUUGAAAUUCACUUUGAAUGAUCAACAAUUCACACACUAUUGAAUAAUCCUAUUCAAGGAAAGAAAUAGUGAUGAAAAUAUUUCUCAAUAUAAUCUGCAAGAUAUUUUCUUCAAUUCACAUGCCAGAAGGAGGUGCCCAUAGGAACUGCAACUGCAUAUGAAUUCUACACAAACAGGCUUAUUGACUAAACUCCAAAUUUUCGUGAGUUAAGUAUAUAUGGAAAAGGUGAAGCAAAUAAUAACAGGUUGUGGCUUAUUGUAGCUGAGUAGAAUAAUUUUUCCAGAUCAGCAAUUUGCCUCAAUUUUUGAUUUAAUUUGUGUAGAAGUUAAAGCUGGUUUAAAAACAUCUAAAAAGAUCUGAAUAGCAUGGAAAAGUCUCUAGUUAUUAACAAUAUUGUAGCACAAUUCUAUCAAAUUGCUGCAAUAUAUGCCAAAUGACAAUUGUGUAAAACGUAUCAUUUUUUUCUCCCUUGUGACAUAAUUUACUGUUAAAGUAGCUAGUUGUUAUAUACAAUGUAUAAAAGUAUACUAAAUGUGAAAAUCAUACUCCUGCAGAACAGAUAUGUAAAUAUGUAAUAAUUGCAUACUUUGCAGGAGUGAGCGACACACCCAUUGGUAGCUGUGGUUUAAAAAUGCACAGAAUGGGCACCAUUCUGGAAAAGAAUCAGAUCCAGAUGUGUGAGGCCUUUACUUCCCCACUCCGCCCCAGGGAUCACUUUCAGCACAACUAUGAAAAGCCAACUCUGAUUAACUGUAUCACUACUGAACUCCUACUCAACGCAGAAGGAAACAUCUGGGGAGGAGGGGAUGCUUUCAUAAGAAUCCCAUACUCACUUAGGGAGCAUACAUUAAACAAGCUAUUUUUGACAAAAUUAUAUAUUAUGACGUGAUCACACACACACACCUUUACACCUGUGCUCUGGCUAAAAUUAAUUCAUUCAUAAAACGUGCAAACCACAAUUCCCCCGAGUAAUAAGAGCUCAAGGACGCCCCUCCUGGUGCAAGGAUUUUUGUCUGCAAAGGCGUUGAUGCUUUGCUCAGACAACCCCCAUCUUUAACCCCAUUCAGGACCGGACUGUUUUUGCAAUGUUGUACGUUAAGGACCAGAGCUAUUUUAACACUUUUGUGGUGUUUGUGUUUAACUGUAAUUUUCCGCUCUCUCAUUUACUGUUCCAAUACAAAUUAUAUAUUGUUUUUUUCAAGACAAAAGGGGCUUUCUUUACCUAUUAUUAUUUUUAUCAUGUCAUUAAUUUUUAAAAAAUAA